rnacentral:tRNA from 1 species
CCUCCAAUAAUUUAAAAUUAAAUCGCAAGUAUGCAAUACAUCGUAUGUUUCAAAAAGAAACUUGGAGGG